UGUAGAUUAAUAAAUUAGUAGCAAGUACAAGCAAUAAGACUAGAUAGGACUUAGUGUUUUGGGAAUUGACCACAUUUAUGGAAACCAGCUCCGACUGUAUUGUUUCCUAGUUUUUGAGUGGGCCCAGGUCAUUAAGCCUCCCUCAGAGCUCUCUAACCCUCUGCAGUCUUCAUUUAAAGUGUGACGUGUAUACAACUAUAAUUCUGUAUGGCAGGAUAUUUUAAAAUUUCAACGGUGUCUACUAAAAGCCCUUUUAGCAAACAUGUUUUCAUUAUGGCAUAAAGCAGGAAAGAGGAAAGCUCCACCCACAGGGCUUGUAGGGGAUAGCUCACCUCUGAAGUACGGCUUGGCAAAUGCUCUUCUGACCACCGUGGCUGACUGGGAUAAACAGCUUCCCUUGGAGCCAUUCAGAAUUGCUAUGACAGCAUCCAGGACAGUGGUGCACAGACUGCAGCAGGAAGCCUGCACCGAAAUCCUGUUGUAGGGCAGGCGAAUGACAGAACGUUAGACAGAGGCACAGCUUUCAUAUUAGCUUUGCUAUCAAAGCCAAGAUGAUCCUGAUAGGGGGCUGCAUGGAAUGCCCCCCAAGUACAUGUGUUGGGGAAGUCAGGGAAGGAGGGACAUGGAAAUGAAAAGUAGUGUGAUUUUUGUUAUCUGGAGCCAAAGUACAGUCAGUAGAGUAGAAUGAACUUAACAGAGGCCCUAAGAAAAAGGGAAUAUAUUUUACAUAGUUUGAUAACUGAAGAAACAAAUAGGGAGGCUCCCAAUCAGCACAGCACCUGGUCCCUCCCAACAGGGAUAAGAUAAUGGUCUCAGUUCAAGAAUUCUCCAAAGCUAGAAAUAACAAGAAAUCCCAGAAAGUGGGGCUGGGAAAUGUAGCUUAGGUUGUUCUGUGAGCGAAUGUGGUAGGGGACAGGAUUGGGGACCAUGCUCUUGUACUUGCUUUAGCAGAGAUUUAUUCCUCGGUAGUGGAGAAGAGGGGAGAGAAAAUAGUCCACUUCCGCUACAAUUAUGGUAGUUCUUAGCAGGAGUGAAUUUUCAGCUGAACUAGGGGCAGGGUUCAUUAAAAUCCCAAGUUUCUUGCUUGGCUUACAUUCACUGCAUACAGUUUAGAGCGUCUUUGUUUUUGCAUUGUUAAGGGUGAAGUGCAGAAAGAAGGAAAAGAUCAGGGACAACCCACAAUCACCUACUUGUAAGAAGUAUAAUAUUUUCUGUCAUCUUUUACAUUUGUUUCAAUUUUUAAAAUAGAUUUAUAUCCACUUACACAUGAAUGUGAUGAAAAACAUUUUUUUAAAAGUAAUUGUAAUGCUGGAGUUGUCCUUCAGGCUGCUCCCAGCUGUAAGCAAUCUAAAAGGAAGUGAUGGAGGCAGAGGAGAAAGUUGGCUUCAACGCUUUGUGGUUCACAAAGACUUUAUAAAUAGUAGUGCCUUUUGGAGGGGAGGAUGGGAAAUGAAGAAGUCCACUGCAUUUAGAUUGACUAGCAUUGCAGUAUUUUUCUUUAUUUUAAAGUAUCUUUUAAAUGGAAACUGCUGAAUAUAGAACAGGACCAGGAAUUCUUGAGCUUCUGCCUCACUAUUCCAGAUUCAUGCUUUCUAACAGAAAGUUUUUGUUGUUUGCCGCCCCACACAUCCCCAUUGUUAAAAUGGUAGUGGGUGGGUGUGGGGAGGAUGAAGGACACUAAUCACAUAGGAAUGUUGAGAAAAUACUAUUGUUGAGACAUCUAUAAAAUGCUCUCAUUUUUUAAAAGUGCUACACACUGCCAGUGCUAAGAAUUUUAUUGAUAGUAACUUUGAACAUUCCAGGUUUUCAAUAUUCAUGUCUUUAGAUACCAUUUACAAACUCAUGAGGUUAAAUUCUAUAAAGUGCUUCUAUUGGAAGUAGUACGUGCUCUUUGUCUAAAUGUUAUUUGGUUUUACCCUAUAAUUUUGGUCAUUUAAAAGCUUGUCUACAGACAAAGAUUAGGAGAGCUGAUGAAGUCUCAGGUCCAUAAACUGUUUUCUCCACUAUUUCUUAUGGGAGAUGAGAAGAUUAAGAUGCAAAGUUACCUUCGCUUCUCAAGCUUUACGCUCUGGCAAAAUGGACAGAGAAGAACCCAAACAGCCAAUUUCCUCACUAAGAUAGCAGAAGUGAGGACAGUAUAUCUUCCAAUAUCAUCACCAUUCGUAUCUUUAGUCUCACAAGAACCUAUUAGAAGAGCCAAAAUAGGUGCCCAGGGAUAGAAAUGAAUUGGGCUGUUGGUUUUUGGAGGGAACACUUGGAUCAAUUUCUUUUUUUUUGGACAGUUAGGUCUUUCAGGAAUAGCAUAUUUGUGGUUCCAUAGCCUCCAUGAUUUGAUACAGCCUGUGAGUCAGUCAUUACUUUUUUUUCUUGCCUAUGUGGAAGAACAUGGAAAUUUAGACUUGUGAGAAUAUGAAGGAACAAAUAUGACGUAAACUAAAUGGUGCAUCAACUAAAACUUUCUCUGAUGCAUUUGAUAGAGGAGGAAAUAUUUUGAACAUAAAGGGUCUCUGUAGUAGGGCAAGAAUGCAGACUCACCACUCCCUUAUUCGGGAUAGCCAGCGAAUUGUAUGAAUUGUACUAGAUGGGUUUUGAGGAAUGUAGACUGUAAUCCUUUCUCUUCUGGCUAGCAUCCCUGUGGAGUCUGAGUCAGGCAAACACAGAGUGUGAGCUUUCAGUGGAUUUAUUUGUAAAACUGCAUCAUGAUCUUUCUUUGCUACUUAAAAUCUAGAGAUCUUUUGGGAAUGAAUGAUUAGGCUGGGGGUAGGCUUAGGGAAAACAGAACAUGCUCCCUCAAGAAAAAGGAAACUCUAUGUUAAUAUUUAUUUUUUGAAAACAGUAAAGCUCUCAGUUUCAUUAAUUCUAGAGGGUUAAAAAGGACUGAAAUAUGUCCAUAGCACUAGAUGUUUUUAAUCAUGUUGUUCACAUGAAAAAUCUAUACAGAAGUCUCAUAAGGCCAUAUUUUUAUGAAUGGGAUUUCUUCCUUAUUUUCAAUAUAUAUACUGAAUAUAUAGAGAGAAGUUAGAGGAGAGGAAAAAAAACAGUAACUCUAAGGUAAUGUUUCAUUUUUAAAGGACAUUUAUGGAAAGCCUAAAUUUAAUACUCACAGGCUAUUGUGAUUUCCUAUCAGCCUGUUUGUAGAGACAUUCUCAAAUGUGGUCAGGUGUAGUUUUUAUUCAAAUGAUCAAAAUAACAGUUUAGUCAGAUAACUUAUUUCAGAAAAUGAGGUUAGCGAGAAAAGGGAGAAUGGUAGAAAAAGUGCAAAUACCAAUGUUUGGAAUGCCAACUCCUGAUGUUUAAUUUAACCAGGUGGAUUUGCUAGUCCAGGGUUAGCAACAUAGGAGUCCCAUAAAUCCCUGACUCCCAUCAGGAACCUAACCCAUGUUCUGGGGUACUAUGGAGACUGUUACCAUGACCUCAUAGACUGUGGCUAUGAAUUUGAAGUUAACAAAACAUAUAUCUUCUCUUACUAAUUUAAGCCAUAUCUGUCAUUAUUUUGUUGGAUUUUUUUUUUUUACCCUGGUGCUUUUAUUUCUGUUUCUGCCAAAACUUCAGCCUACUCUAUGGGGAAGGUGAGUAAAACUAAUGGUAGGACAAAUACAAAGACUGUGAAAAAGCUGAACAUACUCUUGACAAUGAGAUCCUAUUCAGAGAGCAGUAGUGAUCCAAGUGCAACUGUUGGAAAAUAUAGAUAUGUGUACAUCUGUACAUGUACAUAGUGUAUAAUAUGUAUGUAUAUGUUAUUGCUCAUAUGCAGAAAUCUAUCCAUUUGCAGACAGCCCAGGUAGGACAGUGUUUUUACUGGAAAACCAUUCAGGGCCAUUCAAAACCAUUAGGGCUAAUUUGUGGAGACAAACUCUGCUCAGUAGGAAUUUGCUGUCCUUUGAAGUCCACAGAGCCAACUAACAAAAUGUGAAACAGCAGGACCAUCAUUUAGGCUAUUUGUUUACCUAGACUCAGAGGUCUCUUUAUAUUUGAAUUAUUCAUAUUUGGUUUGCAAAUUACAUUGGCACCUCUUGGUUUUGAGUGACCUCCUCACAAGUCUUUUGCAAAUUUUUGAUGGGCUUCUCUGACUAUUCAGAUAAAGGGCCUUAUCCAUAGUGGACAGGUUUCCCCAUAGGGACCAUUAUACAUAUACAUAUAAGUACAUACUUCCAUCAGGCUUGUAACACUUGAUUUUAAAACACUCCACAGUAUUGAUAAAUAGCUCUAUAUUUUCAAGGUGCAGAAGAAUUCCACAGCCUUAAUUAUUUCAGUGUCUUGCUGGUCUGCCUUAAGUGUAUCUUCUGGGUUUUUGUUGUUUUAUCAUUUUUAAAUUUUUCUGCAGUUGUUCAUUUUGUAUGCACACAAUGUCGUUUUGUAAAGGUAGGUUGUAAAUAUUUUAUUUGUAAGUCAAACUCAUUCAUGUGUAAUGUUGUAAAGUGAUGAUCUGCUGUCUUGUUAUUAUUACUACAGUAAAUGUUAUGUUAUGAAUGAAACU
rnacentral:lncRNA from 1 species